UUCAAUUACUAUAAAAAAUACUCAAGAAAAUCCAAUCUUUUCUCAACCCCAAGUUUUAAAUCCUUAAAAUUUUCACAAAUUUCAUAAUUUUUGGUGUUGUUUUUGACAGAUUUCUUUACCAAAAAGAUCAGCAAUGGAGCUAUUUCACAAAGCAAAAGCUGUUCGUUUACAGAGUCACCAUGAGAAGUACUUAACAGCUGAAGAAGAUGAAGAAUCAGUGACUCAAGAUCGUAACGGAGCAUCAAAAAACGCGAAAUGGACAGUUGAAUUUGUUGAAAAAACCGAAAAUGUUAUUCGAUUGAAGAGUUGUUAUGGGAAAUAUUUAACAGCUUCGAAUCAGCCAUUUCUUCUGGGUAUGACUGGUAGAAAAGUUCUUCAAACUUUGCCUAAUCGACUUGAUUCUUCAAUUGAAUGGGAACCCAUUAGAGAAGGACAUCAAGUUAAGCUGAGGACGAGAUAUGGGCAAUUUUUGAGGGGAAAUGGGGGUCUUCCUCCAUGGAGAAAUUCUGUUACUCAUGAUAUUCCUCAUAGGACGAAAACUCAAGAUUGGGUUCUUUGGGAUGUUCAUGUUGUUGAAAUUUUGGCGCAUUCGACGGCGGAGACGGUGGCGGAGACGACGGUGGUGGGUGGUAAUUCUGAUUCGUUUGCUUCUGAAUCGAGUUCUGCUACUACUACUGGUUCAUCAAAAUCUUACAGCUUUUCGAGACAAGAGUCAAGUGAUUCAUUGAUUAGUUCACCGCCUAAGUUGGUAGAUGGAAGGCUUAUAUAUUAUCACGUUACGGAUGAAUUUGGAGAAAUUGACGAAGGAGCCGAGGGACUUUGCAUAACUUUUAAGGGAAAUAGUGUUGAGG
rnacentral:misc_RNA from 1 species